rnacentral:rRNA from 1 species
GAUGAACGCUGGCGGCGUGCCUAAUACAUGCAAGUCGAGCGAACAGAUGAGGAGCUUGCUCCUCUGACGUUAGCGGCGGACGGGUGAGUAACACGUGGAUAACCUACCUAUAAGACUGGGAUAACUACGGGAAACCGGAGCUAAUACCGGAUAAUAUAUUGAACCGCAUGGUUCAAUAGUGAAAGACGGUUUUGCUGUCACUUAUAGAUGGAUCCGCGCCGCAUUAGCUAGUUGGUAAGGUAACGGCUUACCAAGGCAACGAUGCGUAGCCGAACUGAGAGGGUGAUCGGCCACACUGGAACUGAGACACGGUCCAGACUCCUACGGGAGGCAGCAGUAGGGAAUCUUCCGCAAUGGGCGAAAGCCUGACGGAGCAACGCCGCGUGAGUGAUGAAGGUCUUCGGAUCGUAAAACUCUGUUAUUAGGGAAGAACAAAUGUGUAAGUAACUAUGCACGUCUUGACGGUACCUAAUCAGAAAGCCACGGCUAACUACGUG